AUUGAACGCUGGCGGCAGGCCUAACACAUGCAAGUCGAGCGGAUGAAGGGAGCUUGCCCCUGGAUUCAGCGGCGGACGGGUGAGUAAUGCCUAGGAAUCUGCCUGGUAGUGGGGGAUAACGUCCGGAAACGGGCGCUAAUACCGCCUACGUCCUGAGGGAGCAAGUUGGGGAUCUUCGGACCCCACGCUAUCAGAUGAGCCUAGGUCGGAUUAGCUAGUUGGUGGGGUAAAGGCCUACCAAGGCGACGAUCCGUAACUGGUCUGAGAGGAUGAUCAGUCACACUGGAGCUGAGACACGGUCCAGACUCCUACGGGAGGCAGCAGUGGGGAAUAUUGGACAAUGGGCGAAGUCCGGAUCCAGCCAUGCAGCGUGUGUGAAGAAGGUCUUCGGAUUGUAAAGCACUGUAAGUUGGGAGGAAGGGCAGUAAGUUAAUACCUUGCUGUUUUGACGUUACCAACAGAAUAAGCACCGGCUAACUUCGUG
rnacentral:rRNA from 1 species